rnacentral:rRNA from 1 species
AGUGAACGCUGGCGGUAGGCCUAACACAUGCAAGUCGAACGGCAGCACAGUAAGAGCUUGCUCUUACGGGUGGCGAGUGGCGGACGGGGGAGGAAUACAUCGGAAUCUACUUUUUCGUGGGGGAUAACGAAGGGAAACUUACGCUAAUACCGCAUACGACCUACGGGUGAAAGCAGGGGAUCUUCGGACCUUGCGCGAUUGAAUGAGCCGAUGUCGGAUUAGCUAGUUGGCGGGGUAAAGGCCCACCAAGGCGACGAUCCGUAGCUGGUCUGAGAGGAUGAUCAGCUACACUGGAACUGAGACACGGUCCAGACCACUACGCGAGGCAGCGGUGGGGAAUAUUGGACAAUUGGCGCAAGCCUGAUCCAGCCAUACCGCGUAGGUGAAGAAGGCCUUCGGGUUGGAAAGCCCUUUUGUUGGGAAAGAAAAGCAGCAGGUUAAUACCCCGCUGUUCUGACGGUACCCAAAGAAUAAGCACCGGCUAACUUCGUG